UAAUGAGUACACGAAUUAUGCAUAUCAGCACAUGCCCCGAUGGCAGACAGGAAUAGCUGCUGGAAAGGUAGAUUGGUAAACUGGCCUUUUGCUUGUUUACACAUUGGCCUGUGACUCUGUUGAGCAUGAAUGAGCGUCCCCUCCUUCCCAACCCCGACCAAGGUCAAUUCUGCAUGGACCGAGAGCCUCGUGUUUCUGAGCUGCGGGCUCUUGAAUGGACUCAGGUAUUGUUUACUGUGAGGGACCGUCUGGCCGGCCAGCUGGCCUCCCUCUGUGGCACACCUCUCUCAACUUUUAAAGCUGCACACUAUUAAGCUUUGGUCUCUCCUACUUCAGGACAAGGUGUAUAGGGUGUUUGCAUCCUUUUUCUUCUAGCACUAGCCAGCCACAGGGGUGUUGAUAGAGCAAACAUUUGAAGCUGCUGGAAGGGAACCGAAGGCUAUCGGAUGAGUACAGAGGCGUCGGCUGAACUGAGGGCUGCUGUCCUAAACCAUGGUAAUCUAGUGCAUCCCUGUCAAUACAUAAUUCUGUGCUAGGCAGCAAGGGUGUAGGCCCGCCUACACCACAGAGGUCACACGUAAACAAGGAGAGGCUGAUAUCUGCUUGCCCUUCGUGAAAUCUCUGACCCUCUGAGCAGCAUGCCCCCCUGCCUUCGUGACCUGCCCUCCGCAUGCCCAGACCACACCUACCCCACACCCCACACCGCUGGCAUUCACAUCACUUGAUCACAGUUGCCUGCCUACUUGUCUGACUUCCUUACUGGGCCAAGCAACUGGAGGGCAGGGGACUCAUGCUUGAGAAGAAAGGCCUCUGGCUAAGAACAGGCCUUCAGUUCCGAAAGGGACAGAGGCAGGAAGUCUGAGGAAAGAUGGGGGUCCAGGUGAGAGAGCUCUGACAUGUCUUCCCCCUCCCAAGUAUGGAGCUGUGACCCCGCCCAGCAGGCAUCCCACAUUGUCCCAUCUCUGGAAAAAGAAGAAACGCACAGCGGUAUUGAUUCUGCCUGCGCAGCAGAUGAUGGAGAAACGGAAGGAUUGCAGCAGGCCCUACUCUGCCAGGUUGGUUUUGUCUUGGUCACAUUGAAGCCACACACAGCACCCCAGUGACAAAGUCCCAGGGGACGCAGGAGCUUCUGUUCCCAGGACUGUCGUGUGCCUAAACACUGGGGGGUCCCCACAAUACUGGAACCCAAAUACCCUUCUUCCCUCAGCAUAGUCUCGGAAGCUUUCUUUUGAGAUAUUCCAGCUGCCCUAAUUUAGGUAGUCUAUGAAAAAGAAGAAGAAAAUCUCUGCCCCAGUGGGUGCAUUGGAAAAGUGGUCCCCAGGUCUAAUGGUGACUUGGUGGGAGUGGCAUUAGAAUGAUGGUGCCAGUAGGAUUAGGAAGGUGCCACUGUCCUUGCAGUACUGACAAAGCCUGGUCACCCGUGCUCUCUCACUGGCCUCCUCACACCCUAGGAGGUGGCAAGUAUACAUUUUACCCCUUCAUUUUGUGGAUGAAGCCUAGACCGAGAGGGAUGAUUUGCUUCGAGUUGAGGGGUCAGGUGUCCUGACUCCCAGCUUCAGAGCUCUUUCUCCUUGACUAGGUCCUGUGUGAUGCAUCCAGAUCCUAGAGAUUUGCUUCUCUUCCCUCAGUUGGAUUUCCUUUGCUCAGAUGCUUUUUUAAGUUUCACAUGAGGGGAGGCAGGAUCUAAGUCCUAACCCUGGUAGCUAACAGAGGACAAUAGGACAUCUGUGUGUCCGGGAAGAUCCACUUGGCUGUGCUGUCCUCCUGCCUGGCCUGUGAAAAUGCGUUUUCCUUUACGCCACAGACUCAUUAGCCAGUGCGCAUCCUGCCCGGGGUCGCCAGACACUGGAGUUGCAAAUGGCCCCUGAGGGGGGCACUUAAACAUGAAAAACAUGGAAUAUUUCACCUAAAAAUCCAGUUCCUUGGAAAAUUUGAAGUGCUUGUACUCUGGGACAUACCCACAUAAUAGAUUUUACAGGAGCCAAGUUUCAGCUGCCCAUUUAGACCCAAAGUUGGGGCCUGAGGGCUCACAGAAAAGAUCCAGUGACUCCCUGUCCAGGUAUAUGGGUGAGCACUAUCCCCCUCCAGGUGUGUGUGUUCUCUGUCCCCCACUCCAGGUGUGCAUGUGCCCUGUCCCACUCCAGGUGUAUGUGGGCUCUGUCCCCCUCCAGGUGUGUGUGGACUCUGUCCCCCUACAGGUGUUCGUGUGCCCUGUCCCCCUCCAGGUGUGCCUUAUCUCUGUGUUUAUCUUUUCUCAUUUAUGUAUUCAUUCAAUGGACAUGUAUGGCAUGUCCUCUCUCUGCUAGCCCUAGAGGAUUUAAACAGUUAAGAUGGUGGCAACCAUCUUGCUCUUGCCGCGUGCUGCUAGUGUUAGAGGACCCUCCCUGCUUCAGAUUUACCAGCAGCAUGAAUCAAGAAAAGUUAGCCAAACUUCAGGCUCAGGUCUGGAGAGGGGGCAAGGGUACAGCUCACAGAAAGAAGAAGGUGGUACAUAGAACAGCUACAGCUGAUGACAGAAAGCUUCAGAGUUCUCUAAAAAAAAAAAAAAAAAAAAAAAACUGGCUGUGAAUACUAUAGCUAGUAUGGAAGAGGUGAACAUGAUUAAAGAUGACGGGACAAUUACUCAUUUCAACAAUCCAAAGUCCAGGCUUCCCUUUCUGCUGACACUUUUGCAGUUGUGGUCAUGCAGAAGCCAAAGCAAUCACAGAAACGCUUCCUGGAACAUUGUCAGCUCGGUGCCGACAGCUUAACAAGCCUUUGGAAGUUGGCCGGGCAGUUCCCACGGCAAGUCUUAGGCAGUGAAGCACCAAAACCAGAAGGCAUCGAUGAGGAGGAGGAUGAUGCUCCCAAUCUUUUAGGAAAUUCUGAUGAGGCAUCAAGCAAUGAAGCUAGCUACAAUGUGGGGUUUUGGAAGCUGGCGUGGACUGGAGUUAACAAAUCAGCUAUGCGGUUCCAAAGUUUUACAGACACGGAGAACAUCACCUGUAACUAGUUACGAGUUGAGUAAUAUAAAUAUUUUGUAUAUUAAUAAUGCUGUUUGUUCAGCAUUUUUUGGUCAUUUGAUUUUGUAUUUUGCACUUCCAGGAUAUAUUUUUUUUUUUUUUGUCAAAAUAUGAAGUAUUGGUGCAGUUUGAGGCUGUUUCGGUUUUUGAUUCCCGGUUUUUGUUGUUUGGGGUAUUUUUGGUGUAUGUGUGUGUGUGUGUGUGUGGGUGUGUGUGUGGGUGUGUGCACCGUGGAGGGCAAACUGGAAAACAGUCCUAUUUGUCCUACUCCCUCCCCAGCAGAAAUAAAAAAAAGUUUACUUUUGUUACUUUUCUUUUUCCCCCAUAAGACCCAGAAUUAAUGGAAAAUGAGUAUCUUGGAUUACAGAUCUGAAGAGAUUUUUACCGUCAGUGGUUUGAUUUUAAUUUGCUUGGUUAACUAUGGUAUUUUUCAUACGCUUCUCUGGGUUUAAAAUGUCUUGAGGUAUUUUGCCACUGGCUUCAUGCUGGAGUAAUGGGUAACGUAUCUUCGGUAUGGUUGCCGUAGAUUCACUUACCCAGUCAGACCUAGAAUAACUUCUUUUACUAGCUUGCUUCCUAAAUGGCUUUUUUCCUCUCCUUUUGGUCUCCCAGUGGCCUGGUCAGUCUUUGGUAGUAUUAUUCCUCACCUUCCAGCUAGCUUGAGAAGGAUGUUCUCCGUAUAGACCUGAGCGAGUGCCUAAUCGCUCCUUUUGUAAAAUUGUGUUCCCUCAUCUUGAGGAACAGCUUUUUAUUUCUCUUUAACUUUUUAUUUCUCCCUGAUUUUACAGUUUGGUAGAUUUCUUUUCUUUUUUCUUGUUGCCCAGGCUGGAGUGCAUGGUGCAAUCUCAGCUCACUGCAACCUUCACCUCCUGGGUUCAAGUGAUUCUCCUGCCUCAGCCUCCUGAGUAGCUGGGAUUACAGGCAUGUGCCACCACACCUGGCUAAUUUUUGUGUUUUUAGUAGAGACGGGGUUUCUCCAUGUUGGUCAGGCUGUUCUUGAACUCCUGACCUCAGGUGAUCCACCUGCCUCGGCCUCCCAAAGUGCUGGGAUUACAGGUGUGAGCCACCGUGCCCGGCCUACAGAUGGGUAGAUUUCAGACUAGAAUAGCUAGCAUGUGCUUGCCAAAUAUUUUUAUCCCAGCCUUAUCCUGUAUCCUAGCUGUUGUUAAUAGCAGGUACAAAAAUGCCUCUUUUUCAACAAGGUUGAAAUUGGGAAUGUUCUUUUGAAUGAGAAGAAAAUAGGCCGUAGACUCAUCCCCCAGCACAAAUGGGCGUUCUAUGAAACGGUGCUGGCCCAGGAGGAUUUCCUCAGCCACUCGCCUACUCUUGGCCUUGAACCUACCUCUGGGUCGGAUCUUAUUAUUGUAGCUGCUCACUAUACUCUCCUGCGUGCUUAGAAUAAUGCUUUGGGGGAGCACUGGUAAAACACAGUAUUUAUUUUUUUUACCUCCUUUAAGAGGACUUGGAGAUACGUUGCAUUCAUCACUCACGUUUCCCUCUUGCUGUGUAAUAAAAGCUUGCGUUUUGCUCCACCAGCAUUUGUUAUAGCCAAUAUUUAAGGAUAGCAUUGAGAAAUGUAUCAUUUCCUGGCCCCUCAUCACACUAGUGCAGCUUCACCUUGCAGCUGCCAACUUUUGUGUCAAGCUAGAUAUCUAUUUGAUAUCUAACAUGCAAGGCCAACAAUACAUUAAGAGAGCUACAGACAUGAAGGCAAAGCGCCUGUAUUUUUUUCAUCCAAACGCCUCAAUUUAUUUUAUACAUUUGUUCAUUUUUCCUUUUAUGUUUUAUAUAAUAUAUGGACUUAACAGAAUAAAAUAACAGU